UGUUGGUCAAUGGACGCGAGUCUGAACCAGCCAAGUAGCGUGUAGGAUGACUGCCCUAUGGGUUGUAAACUUCUUUUAUAUGGGAAUAAAGUUUUCCACGUGUGGAAUUUUGUAUGUACCAUAUGAAUAAGCAUCGGCUAACUCCGUGCCAGCAGCCGCGGUAAUACGGAGGAUGCGAGCGUUAUCCGGAUUUAGUGGGUUUAAAGGGUGCGUAGGUGGUUAAUUAAGUCAGCGGUGAAAGUUUGCGGCUCAACCGUAAAAUUGCAGUUGAAACUGGCAGUCUUGAGUACAGUAGAGGUGGGCGGAAUUCGUGGUGUAGCGGUGAAAUGCUUAGAUAUCACGAAGAACUCCGAUUGCGAAGGCAGCUCACUGGACUGUUGACUGACACUGAGGCUCGAAAGUGUGGGUAUCAAACAG
rnacentral:rRNA from 1 species